AAACAACUUUCUCUUCCGGGGUCACACAGGACCGCCCCAAAGCGUACCUUGCGCGCCGGGGGCGCCAGGCGCUACUGGAUUCGGUGUAGUUUUGAGGUGUUUGCACCACCCUCGCUGCUGCUUUCGUGGCUGCCCGUGUGCCCGCUGCUCACGGCUGCCCCAGAAGUGUGAGCUGGCCGCGCCCGGCCCUCUGGUCCUCGGGCACCGCCUGCAGGCUUUGUAACUUGGGAGCACAUCUCUGGUGAUCAUGGUUUAUGCAGUGAGUGAUAGUAAAUCCUCCUCCCUGUACCAGCAAAGGCAUAGGAGUCUGAGAGUCUGCGAGAUUCUCAUAGAUGUGGUUGCACCUGGCAAGGAGCCCAGCUGCAGAAAUAAGCAGGCAAACGCGAGUUUCUGAGCCAGUUCCAGCCCGGCCCAGAUGUUGGCCCCUGACAACUAGCUGUGGCUGGUGCGGAGGGAGGAGCGAGGGAAGAGGGGCAGAUCGAGGCUGCCAGAAACAUAUGAAGCUCAUUUCUGCCACCCUUCCUAGAAAACUGGUUCCUGACAGAGACAUGUGGAAAGGUAAGUAAACCUGGGCCCAAGAUCACAGAGCACACAGCUGGAAUUCACAGCAAGACCUGAUUGACUUCGAAGUCAGUGGUCUUUCCCCUGCUUCCCACGAGACAGGUAAUCCCUCAGCUUACUCUUGAAGAGGCAAUGUGGGCUACUGCAUUUGAAUGUCUGAAUUCAAGCCUUGUAGAAACAACUAGCAGUAACCAAACACCAUUAUUUUUGUUUGUUCAUUUGUUUCCAAAUGACUUGUGACUUUUCUAAUGGAGAAAACACUCAACCCAAAUCUUAAUUCCACCAACAAUGAGUGUGUGCCUUGGACAAUUCACAGCCUGUCUGAGCUAGUUUAUUUUAGAGUAAGCAAGUUGGAGUAGGUGACCUCUGUGUUCUUUGUAAUUUGAGACGUUUUGGUGUUCACACAGGUUACUACAUGAAGAGCUGGGACUGGAAUACAGGUUUUCUAUGUUCACCUGGGGAUAGCUUUUCCAUCAUCCCUCCUGAGUCUGUGAGGUAUCCCAGUUUUUAAGCCAGAACUUUGAAACCAGAAGUAAAUGGUUAAGUUUAUCUGUCUAUGCCUAUGUGUAUUCUAGCCAAAUAAACCAUGACACUUAAAACAAUUUCAAUAUUUCAAAGAUGUAGUAAAUUUCCUUGAACCUUUUUUAUUGUUUUUUAUAAAUUAAAAAUUAUGAAAUAAUUCAAACAUUUUUAAAAUAGGAAAUAACGUGAUAUGCAUGUACCCCAUACCCAGAUUUAAUAGAUGUUUACAUUAUGCAGUAUCUGUUUCUUUUUUUUUUUUUUUUCUUGAGACAGAGUCUUGCUCUGUCACCCAGGCUGGAGUGCAGUGGCAUAAUCUCGGCUCACUGCAACCUCCGCCUCCCGGGUUCAAGCGAUUCUCCUGCCUCAGCCUCCUGAGUAGGUGAGAUUACAGGCGCGCACCACCAAGUCCAGCUAUUUUUUGUGUUUUUAGUAGAGACAGGGUUUCACCAUGUUGGUCAGGCUGGUCUCGAACUCCUGACCUCGUGAUCCACCUACCUUGGCCUCCCAAAGUGCUGGGAUUGCAGGCAUGAGCCACCGCACCUGGCCUUCAAUUUUUUGAUAGAAGUAAGACAUCACAGGUACAAUCAAAGUUUCCUAAUCUUAUAUUUCUUCUCACACUUCCCAGAGGAAAAUGACUAUUCUAAAGUUAGUUACUUCUAUUUCUUAAUUGUAAUACAUUUAUUCAUAUUCUUAAGACAUUUAUGUAAUAUUGUGUUAAGUAUUUUUGAAAUGUAUAUAAAUGGAAUCAUACAAUAAAGACCCUCAGCAGUUUUUUUUCACUGAAUGUUCUGGUUUCAAGAUUUAUCCAUGUGAAUAUGUGUAGGUCUAGUUUAUUCAUUUUAAUUAUUGUGUUAUAUUUUAUUGUAUGACCAUAACAUUUAUUUUUUCUUUUGAUUGUGAAUUUAAUUUUUUUAAUAUUUAAACAGUGCUGCAAUGAACAUUUUUCCUUAUAUCUAUCUGCUUGUUCCUGUGAGCUUCUCAAACCAUGACCUGAAGAUCGCUACCAGUUCAUAACUAAUUAAGUACAGAAAUUGACAAUAUUAAUUUAGAAACUUUAAUAGCAAUCCAACUGAGUACUUUUAUGUCUAUUGAAUCCAAUAAUACAGAAUAUUGAGUUCUGUAUUUUGUAUGUCUGUUUUAAAAUUUUAUUUUUUUGAGAUAGGGUCUCACUCUGUCUCCUAGGCCAGAGUGCAGUGGCGCAAUCACAGCUCACUGUAGCCUCAAAACUCCCAGGCUCAGGUGAUCGAUCCUCUCACCUCAGCUCCUGAGGAGCUAGGACUACAGGCGCACACCACCAUACCUGGCUAAUUUUUUCACUUGUUAUAGAGAUGGGGCUUUGCCAUCUUGCCCAGACUGGUCUCGAACUCCUGGGCUCAAGUGAUCCAUCCACCUCAGCCUUCCAACAUGCUGGGACUACAGGCAUGAGCCACUGUCCCCAGCCAAAAUUUUAUUUAUUCAUUUUCAUUGUAUUUUACAAACAUAUUGAUCCUCAGCAGCAUGGAAAUAUUUUUAGAAAACUUGCCUUUUUAUUACAGAUAGUUUGAGACUUUCUGCAUGGUUUCUACUUGCAAGUUGAAUUUCUGGCUUGAUGAAUAAGUGCAUCUUUAGCUCUAAAACAUAUAAACAAAUUCCACUCCAGAAUGGUCAAACCAAUUUUCAAUCUCUUCUGCAGUGUAUAAGUUUCCUUUUCCAACAGUUGCAUUAUCAGACCUUUAAAUCUUUUCUCAAUAUGAUAGCUAUGAAAUAUUUUAUUUAACUAGCAAUUAUCUGAUAAAUAGUGACGUUGAACAUCUAUUUAUAUGCUAAUUACAUUCCCAGUUACCUGACUUUAACAAGGCAGGUUUUCCAGUUUGCAAGUAUGGGGAAAAUAUGUCUUUAAAAAUCUAGCUAUAGCAGGCAAAGUAUCAUAACAGGUAAAACUGGUUUUUAAGAAGAAAAGCCUAGGAACAGCUAGCUUUGACUUGAUGAAGGACAGGAAAAACCAGUUGUAGCAAUUGAGUACAUGGACAGAUACUUUAGAGUACAUGUCUUUUCCGGUAUUUUGGUUUUGGGACAAUCCCUCCAUCACCAUUAUGACGUUUCAGUGGAGCAAUUUUCACUAAGAAUUUUGUACCUGUUUUCCAGUUUUGAUCAUCGAUGAUUUUCUGGUUCUAAUGAGAUCAAGGACAUGAAGAGGCUGAGUGCCUCCAUGAGCUUCAUUAUUUUCCAUGAUCUGACCUCUCAUUCUCUUAAGCUUUGGAGUUGGAUGAAGGAAGAACUCUGAAAAAAAGUAUCUGCACCCAAGGACCCACACCCAAGGAGCAGUACCAGAGGGAACACAUCUGAAGAGCCCUAUCUGGAUUUGCCAACAUGAUUUAGAUGAUAAGAUACUGGACUUUGAGCUGGUGCCAUAAUGGGAUGAGGCUUUGGGAGUCCAAAGGGAGAUAAGUGUAAGUGUAUUUCACCGGUGAAGAAUGUAAAACAUAAAAGGCCAGAACAUGAACUCUGCAGCUAAUCUCCAAAGAUGGCUCUCAGUGAACCACACCUCAUGGAAUUCAUGUCCUUGCAUAGUCCCCUCCCGCACUGAAUCUGGGUUAACUUUGUGACUUUCUCUAACUAUCAGAAUGUGACAGAAGUAACAAUAUGAUACAUCCCUCCAUUUAGUGAGAUCAUCUUUAAUUUCUCCCAAUAAUGUUUUGUAGUUUUCUGUGUAGAGGUCUUACAAAUUUUUUAGAUUGAUUCUUUGACAUGUGACUUUUCUAUGCUGUUGAUAAAUGAUAUUUUGUUAAAAUUUUUAUUUUCUAAUUGCUUGUUACUAGCAUAUAGAAACUUAAUUACAUAUAGAAACUAAGUACAGGACUUUGUUUAUUGACUAUGUAUUCAGUGGCCUUGGUUAAUUCCUCUUUUAAUUGUAAUAGUUUUUCUGUAGUUCUUUUGGAUUUUUCUAUGUGUAUAAUUAUAUAUGAAUAAUGACAGAUUCAUUUCUUAAUUUCCAGUCCUCUAAUAGGGUUUCUUUAUUUCUUUUUCUAACUUUGAUGCACUAGCUAGAACCUACAAAAUAAUGUGGAAAAAAAGCAACCAUCCUUGCCUCAUUCCUGAUUUUAGAGGAAAAGCUCUUAAUAUUAACUAUGAUGUUUUUAAUGGGGUUUAUUUAGAGAUCUUUGUGAAGGCAAGAGUUUUUUUAAUAAAUGAAUCUUGAGUUUUAUAAAAAAUUUUUACUGCAUCUAUCAAGAUGGUCAUAUGAUUUUUAAAUUCUGUUACUGCAGUAAAUUAUAUUGAUUUUUUAAUCUAAAAACAAUCUUACAUAUCUGAAAUAAACCCACUUUGGUCAUGAUGCAUUAUUCUUUUUGUGUAACACUGGAUUUGAUUCUUUUAUUUAUUUAUUUUAGAGUUUUUGCUUAUAUGUUCACAAGAGACAGUGACUUGUUAUUUUUUUCUUGUAUGUUCUUGUCAGGUUUGAGAAUCAAGGAUAUGUUGGUCUUACAAAAUUAUUUGGGAAGUACUUGUUCUUUUUUAACUUUCUGGAAAAGUUUUUAUAAAUUUGAUAUGAUUACUUCUUUAAAUAUUUGGUAAACUUCACUAGGGAAGCAUCUAGGAUGGGAAAAUUUUUAGUUAUGGACUCAAUUUCUUUAAUAGAUAUAAAACUAUUCAAAUCCUUCUAUUUCCAACACUCUGAUUUUGGCACAUUGAGAUUCUCUAUGAAUUUGUCUAUUUUAUCUAAAUUUUCAAAAUUACUGACAUAAAAGUCACAUAGACCUCUUAGGAUUUUUUUAAAUGAGUUUUCAUUCUUGAAAUUAUUUAUUUGCACAUUCUCACUCUCUCUUCUUGAUCAAACUGGCCAGAUGUUUGUCAAUUUAAGGCUCUUAAAAAAAAAGAUACAACCUUUGGAUUUGUUAAACCUCAUUAUACAUGUAUUUGUAUUUUUUCCAUUGGUUUCUAGUUUGUUGUUUAUAAUUUACCUAAUUUACUUUUUUUGAGUUAAAAUUUGCUUUUCUUUUUCAAACUUCUUGAAAUGGAUACUUACAUGAUUCUAUUUCCCUAAUGCUUUAUUUAAGCCUAUAAAUUUCCCUUGAAUCAUAGACUCGGAUUCAGCCCACCCAUUUUGAUAUGUUACAUUUUUAAUAUAUUAAAUAUAAAAUGUCUUCUCAUUCCUAUUGUGAUUUUGGUUUGACCUAUUGAAUCAUUUAGUAGUACAUUAUUAACUUCUAAAACUGGGAGGUUUUAGUAUGGCAUUUUUGUUAUUUAUUGCUCGUUUAAUUAUAUGUGGUCAGAAAGCAUAUUCCAUAUUAUUUCAGUUUCUUAAUCUUUGUUAAGGCUUCCUUUAUGGUCAAGCAUAUGGUCAAAUUUUUAAAUAAAAUUCUAUAGAACAUGUACUUGAAAAAAAAUUCUAGUCUGCUCUUGUUGGGUAUCAGUUUUCAACAUGCGUGUAUCAAUUAGAUCAAGUUUGUUAAUCAUGUUCUUCAAACCCUUAUGUUUUUACUAUUUUUUGGUCUAUUCAUUCUAUUUAUAUUCUUUACUAAAAGAGGAGUGCCAAAAUCUCCCCUUAUGAUUAUGGAUUUGUCUAUUUCUCAUUUUAGUUCUGAAAAUAUUGUUUUAUAUAUUUCAAGGCUUUGUUACUAGAUGAUAGCUGUGCCCAGUUUUUGUUACAUAUGAUAUUGAAAAACUAGAGUGAUAGGAUUCCAAAGAACCACUGCUGUUGUCUCAAUGUCUGUGUCCUCCCAAAAUUUAUAUGUUGAAAUCCUAACCCCCAAGGUAAUUGCAUUAGGAUGUAGGGUCUUUGGAAAGUGACUGAAGGCUCUGCCUCUUGAAUGGGAUUAAUGCCCUUAUAAAAGAGACCCCUGACAUCUGCCUUUCCCCUUCCACCAUGUGAGGACACAGUGAGAAGGUGCCAUUCAUGAACCUGAAAGUGAGCCCUCACCAGACACCAAACUGGUUGAGCAUUGUCUUCCCAUUCUCUAGAACUAUAAGAAAUAAAUUUCUGUUAUUUAUAAGCCACCCAGUUUUCAGUAUGUUGUUACAGCAGCCCAAAUGGACUAAGACAGCCACUCCACUAGGCAAGCCUGAGUGUAGAGCCAUCAAAGACAGCUUGGAGAAAUAGAUUGCUGGCCUUGAGCACCCACAUAGCUCAUUUUUGCCCAGUGGGAGCUAAAAAAUAUCUCCUAAAUGCUGCUGACCUCCCUAUGGUUUGGUACAUGCUUAGUACACUCCAGACUUGAGGCCUCUGUAUUUUCCAUUCUUUCUCCCUAGUAUCCUCUUCUAGGUAAACUUGAGGCUUGCAUCAGGGAUAGAUGUAAAGCACAUGAAAUAAUACCUAGCAUAUAUGGUUACUGAAAAAGGAGGGAAGAAAUGUUAUGAGUUCAAGUGAAAGAAGAGCUUCGUGGAGAGUAGUUAGGAUUCACCUAGAGAAAAGCAGAUUUGUGUAGGGGAUGGAGAAGAACGUAUUAUCAUCAAGUAAACAAAGGCAUGGAGCUGUGAAGGUGAGGGUUUCUCUAGACACCUCACAAUGAGUCCAGAGUUCAAGCAGGAAAAUGGUACGUGGUAGGCAGUUAGGUAAGAAAAAUAAAUUGAAUCCCAAAAUAAAGGGCCAUGAGGAGUAGGCAAAGGGUUUUGGACUUUGCAUCCUGCCUCCUCCUCCUAGACUGGUGACUUACUUCCUGACUAGAAUAUGAGAUUUCUGAGGACAUGCCCAGCAUCAUGUUCUGCACGUAAUCUGCAAACAACAUUCCAUUUAUUGGUGACUAAACACUCCGGCCCUGGGGUGAAACUGCCUGGGUUCAAAUCCUGCCCCAUUCCUUCCUGACUGUAUGGCCUUGGAUAAGGUAGUUAACUUCUGCACACCUCUGUUUCCUUAUCUGUUUAAAAAAAAAAAAAAAAAAAAAAAGGUUAAUCAAGGUAGCAGGUUCACUGGGUAAUUGUAAAGGUUUGAUGGAUGUUACAUAUAAAGCACUUGAUAUACAACCUGUCAAAAAUUUUGUACAGUCAAGUAGGAAUGUGGCAAUAACCGGGAUUUUGAAGGAUAGGAAUGAUUGGGAUGGUUAGAAAUCACAUGUGUGUGAUUCUAUAACAGUUUAUCUUCCUAUUGAUGUGUUUUAUAGGCAGCUAGCAUGGGCCAAGUAUGUUAUCAUCAAGAACUGAAGAGACUUAACUAGAGCAAGUAAAACAACACCCGAAAUGCAAUGUACAUAUAUCAGAAUGCUUUUCAGUUCUGCAUUUGUGUUCUAAUUUGCCUUUAAACAUGUGUUGAAAAGAGUUUGACAGAUGGGCAGAGGCAACACCAUUACUGAGAAAAGUCACUUGACAAAUCCUAAUAUUUCAAAGAGCCACUCCAUUUGUGGCACUAAGAUUAAAUUAAGACAGUGCCCUGGGAAAACACAACUAUGCCAGGACUCUCCUCCUACUGAAUGCUUCUCAUGUCUAAGCUUUACAUUUUCAACACUCAUUUCCAGGUCUAUUUUCAGUUGCUCUACAAAGGAUUAAUGAAAAUAACUCCAUCUGAUGUGAUUAAUGUCUCAGAAAUCUAUCUCAUCCUAGUGUUCACAAGACUCUGGCUUCCUAUAGAAAGGCCUUCAAAACAAUAAGAUAAAGAAAAUGUAUAAAAAUUGAAAUGUUGAUUUUGAUAUUGUAUUCGAUAACAGAUUUUGGUCAAUGCAUGUUUAUUUUAAAAGAAAGCAUGCACAACAGCUUUUCUACUAAUAAUGGUAGGAAAUUACAUAGCUAUUUAAAAUACCCAAUUCACACAAAUUGAGAUGCAAAUGUUGGUGUUAUUGGCUUAGAACAGAGACGAACAUUUAACUCUUAACAUGCACAUUUUAUCCUUAAUCUAUUCUCAGUAAUAUUUUAUGUUGCUUCACCAUUGUCAUAAAAGGAAACUGAUUUCCUUUUCUGGUAAAGAAGGGAAAUAAUACUAUUAACCUCCCAUGAUUAUUAUGAAAAUAAAGUGAAAUCAAGUAAACAAUAGUUUUCAAACUAUUGAGAGGAUGCAGUUACUCAUCAG
rnacentral:lncRNA from 1 species